GACGAACCGAGCGAACGUUAUUCGGAAUCACUGGGCUUAAAGGGUGCGUAGGCGGGCACGCGAGUCAGGGGUGAAAUCCCACGGCCCAACCGUGGAAGUGCCUCUGAUACCGCGAGUCUCGAGGGGGAUAGGGGCGUGCGGAACUUCCGGUGGAGCGGUGAAAUGCGUAGAGAUCGGAAAGAACACCAACGGCGAAAGCACUCUGCUGGGCCGACACUGACACUGAGAGACGAAAGCUAGGGGAGCGAAUGGG
rnacentral:rRNA from 1 species